rnacentral:lncRNA from 1 species
GCGCUGAUGAAUUGAAUAUUAGAGUCCCAGAAACCACAAUCAAGCACCUCACAUGGUAUGAUUAAAGCAUAGACAAUUACCACUCAGUUUUAUUGUUGUAGCAGAUGCAUUUCAACAAUCAAGGACCUUGUAAUCAAAGCAAUAUAGCUUGGUUGCUGAUAAAUUAACAUCAAGAAGCUCCAAAGCAGGUGAAGAAUGCACUUCUAUCAACUAAUCCAAAUCCUCCUGUUCAAGGCCAUGACCAAGUUAUGUCUUCUGAGAAAUUAUCACAUUUCUAACAAAAACUACCUCCAAUCAACCAAUCCAAAUCUCUGAGACCUAAUCUUGCACAUGCCAUUUUGACAAAAAAAGUUAACAUUGAGGUGGUUAAAAUAAAAUCAUAACUAUGAAUGGAUUCGCCUACGAACUCACUGAUCCCCACUGUUAUCAAACCUA